CAGGGAGACAACACAAUGAUUUUGAUGCCUGAGUGCUUUUAUUCUUAGGCCGAAAUCCUGUCACCUUAGGUCGAUCGGUACCUCAGCUUUGAAGUUAAGGAUCAGCAGCAAUGUUGAUUGCUUAAUGGAGAUUUUCAGUUCCUAAACUUUGUCUAGGUCACACCCCAAAAGGGAUGAGACUCCUGGGCCAUUAGCUCAGGUGGUUAGAGCGCACCCCUGAUAAGGGUGAGGUCCCUGGUUCAAGUCCAGGAUGGCCCAUUCGGUGUUGGGGGUUUAGCUCAGUUGGUAGAGCGCCUGCUUUGCAAGCAGGAUGUCAGGAGUUCGAGUCUCCUAACCUCCACUGACCGAACUUGAUUCCCAUCUCCAAUUUUUUGGAGUUGAGCUCGAUUGGAGUGUGAUUUAGAUGUGUCCGCUGGGAUGACCCCAGCUUCCUGUCAUUCCAAGUUUUAGGUUAAAGCUUUGAAUUUGGUUGAUAAGAUGCUGGGCUCGGAUCAAAUGAUCAAGCAAUUGAUGAUCUGAUUUGAAGUUCUAGCAGAACCUUGACAACUGCAUAGGUGAGUCUGGAAAAAACAAAGCAUCUUACAGAUGCAUUGUUUUGAAUCUGAUCUUCUGAAAGGGAGAUUGGAUCUAGAACAAUGAAAAUUCUUUUUGAGCAAGAGCCGAGACUCUUGAGCGUCUUUGAUUGGUGUCGCGCCCAUCAGAGUUUGAUCUUGUUUUUUAUCAUAAAAACAUGAGAAUCUGCUUUUUACGGCGGUAAGCGUUUAGAAGAUGAAUUGG
rnacentral:tRNA from 1 species